rnacentral:misc_RNA from 1 species
CGACACCCACCGAACCACUCCAAUCUUUGGAGUGUGUUCGAGUGAAAGUGGCCAUCCGAAUGGGGCCGCCGUCCCCUCGUGGGCCGGCCGGCAGAUUGGGUUGGCUGAAAUGGAGGAGGAUUUGGCCGCCGUGGUGACACAGCCCGCGAUCAGGUGAUCCAGGUGUUCAAAAACCCGGAACUCAAACGUGCGCGUCGGCUGUGGCACCCAGUUGGCCGGGACUCAAAAGCAGGUCCCUACCGACACUCCGGCCUAAAAAACCGGACGCUGGAGGCAGGAGAAAACUCGUCACGC